GACGAACGCUGGCGGCGUGCUUAACACAUGCAAGUCGAACGGAAAGGCCCUGCUUUUGUGGGGUGCUCGAGUGGCGAACGGGUGAGUAACACGUGAGUAACCUGCCCUUGACUUUGGGAUAACUUCAGGAAACUGGGGCUAAUACCGGAUAGGAGCUCCUGCUGCAUGGUGGGGGUUGGAAAGUUUCGGCGGUUGGGGAUGGACUCGCGGCUUAUCAGCUUGUUGGUGGGGUAGUGGCUUACCAAGGCUUUGACGGGUAGCCGGCCUGAGAGGGUGACCGGCCACAUUGGGACUGAGAUACGGCCCAGACUCCUACGGGAGGCAGCAGUGGGGAAUAUUGCACAAUGGGCGGAAGCCUGAUGCAGCAACGCCGCGUGCGGGAUGACGGCCUUCGGGUUGUAAACCGCUUUCGCCUGUGACGAAGCGUGAGUGACGGUAAUGGGUAAAGAAGCACCGGCUAACUACGUGCCAGCAGCCGCGGUGAUACGUAGGGUGCGAGCGUUGUCCGGAUUUAUUGGGCGUAAAGGGCUCGUAGGUGGUUGAUCGCGUCGGAAGUGUAAUCUUGGGGCUUAACCCUGAGCGUGCUUUCGAUACGGGUUGACUUGAGGAAGGUAGGGGAGAAUGGAAUUCCUGGUGGAGCGGUGGAAUGCGCAGAUAUCAGGAGGAACACCAGUGGCGAAGGCGGUUCUCUGGGCCUUUCCUGACGCUGAGGAGCGAAAGCGUGGGGAGCGAACAGGCUUAGAUACCCUGGUAGUCCACGCUGUAAACGGUGGGUACUAGGUGUGGGGUCCAUUCCACGGGUUCCGUGCCGUAGCUAACGCUUUAAGUACCCCGCCUGGGGAGUACGGCCGCAAGGCUAAAACUCAAAGGAAUUGACGGGGCCCCGCACAAGCGGCGGAGCAUGCGGAUUAAUUCGAUGCAACGCGUAGAACCUUACCUGGGUUUGACAUGGAUCGGGAGUGCUCAGAGAUGGGUGUGCCUCUUUUGGGGUCGGUUCACAGGUGGUGCAUGGCUGUCGUCAGCUCGUGUCGUGAGAUGUUGGGUUAAGUCCCGCAACGAGCGCAACCCUUGUUCACUGUUGCCAGCACGUUAUGGUGGGGACUCAGUGGAGACCGCCGGGGUCAACUCGGGGGAAGGUGGGGAUGACGUCAAGUCAUCAUGCCCCUUAUGUCCAGGGCUUCACGCAUGCUACAAUGGCUGGUACAGAGAGUGGCGAGCCUGUGAGGGUGAGCGAAUCUCGGAAAGCCGGUCUCAGUUCGGAUUGGGGUCUGCAACCCGACCUCAUGAAGUCGGAGUCGCUAGUAAUCGCAGAUCAGCAACGCUGCGGUGAAUACGUUCCCGGG
rnacentral:rRNA from 1 species